UUGCUGAGCUCAACCUAUUAUCCACUGGAUCCAAUCUAAGACGUGCAGUAGCAGAGAAAAUCACAUCAAUUGAAGGAAAAAGAUGAAAACUUUUAUGGGAUGCAAAUGCAAGUACUUGUGGAUAUAUUCCAUCCUUUUCUGUCCUCCAAAGAGUGAGGAAGAAAAGGAAGAACAACCUCUGUGAAAUUUGUGGAGGAUGGCAAAAAAUUGUGGUAAAACUCCUGCUCCUAUUUUUUUCACUGUACUUUGGGCCUUUUGUUUUUAGAUUUUAAUAUUCUUCUCUUAAAUACUAGCUUUGAGUGAAU